GACGAACGCUGGCGGCGUGCCCAAUACAUGCAAGUCGAGCGAACAGAGGUGUGUCUUCUUCCCCUGACGUUAGCGGCUGAUGGGUGAAAAACACGUGGAUACCCCCCCGUGAGUGCUGGGAUAAGUGCGGGAAACCGGAGCUAAUCCCGGAUAAUGUGUGGUGCCGCAUGGUUCAAUAAUAAAAGACUGCGUUUGUUCGCGUAUAUGUGUGGUCCGCGCGGAAUCAGCUUGUUGGUAAGGGAACGGCUUACCAAGACAACGAUGCGUAGCCGACCUGAGAGGGUGAUCGGCCACACGGGAACUGAGACACGGUCCAGACUCCUACGGGAGCACGCAGUAGGCACACUUCCGCAAUGGGCGAAAGCCGGACGGAGCAACGCCGCGUGAGAGAUGAAGGAGUUCGGAUCGUAAAACUCUGUUAUUAGGGAAGACAAAAAAUGUAAGUAACUAUGCACGUCUUGACGGUACCUAAUCAGAAAGCCACGGCUAACUACGUG
rnacentral:rRNA from 1 species